CAAGCUGGCGGCAGGCCUAACACAUGCAAGUCGAACGCGUCCUUCGGGACGAGUGGCAGACGGGUGAGUAACGCGUGGGAACGUACCCUUUGGUUCGGAACAACAGCGGGAAACUGCUGCUAAUACCGGAUAAGCCCUUCGGGGGAAAGAUUUAUCGCCAGAGGAUCGGCCCGCGUUAGAUUAGCUUGUUGGUGAGGUAAUGGCUCACCAAGGCUACGAUCUAUAGCUGGUCUGAGAGGAUGAUCAGCCACACUGGGACUGAGACACGGCCCAGACUCUUACGGGAGGCAGCAGUGGGGAAUCUUGGACAAUGGGCGAAAGCCUGAUCCAGCCAUGCCGCGUGAAUGAUGAAGGCCCUAGGGUUGUAAAAUUCUUUCGACGGGGAAGAUAAUGACGGUACCCGUAGAAGAAGCUCCGGCUAACUUCGUGCCAGCAGCCGCGGUAAUA
rnacentral:rRNA from 1 species